rnacentral:rRNA from 1 species
UACGUAGGGAGCGAGCGUUGUUCGGAGUUACUGGGCGUAAAGGGUGUGUAGGCGGUUCUUUAAGUUUGGUGUGAAAUCUCCCGGCUCAACUGGGAGGGUGCGCCGAAUACUGAGGGACUAGAGUACGGGAGAGGAAAGUGGAAUUCCUGGUGUAGCGGUGAAAUGCGUAGAUAUCAGGAGGAACACCGGUGGUGUAGACGGCUUUCUGGACCGUAACUGACGCUGAGACACGAAAGCGUGGGUAGCAAACAGG